GAAUAAGUAGUCUGUGAAACUCAUCAUAUAACAAUGAUGACAAUGAUAAUACUGAACAAGUAGCAUGGAUUUACUACACACCAGCCUUUCUUUGAGCUAAGAACUCUACAUGAAUUCUGUCUUCAUGUAUUUAAACAACACCUGGGCUUUGAGAAUUUCAAGACUUUAAUAAUGUUGAUGCUGCAGUUAGGACUCAAAUCCAGUAUUUCUGAUAAGAACAC
rnacentral:lncRNA from 1 species